UGCUAGUCACCGUGAGACCGCGGACGGCUCAUUAAAUCAGUCGUUGUCCAAAUGGGUCAGUCGCAUUAACGUGCAUACUUGGAUAACUGUGGUAAUUCCAGAGCUAAUACAUGCAACCUGAUGUCCUGAUGAGUUAGAUUCGUUCGCUCUGAUGGACGCUUUUAUUAGACCAAUCCGAAGCUUGCUUGUGUGGUAAACGCACUCGCAUUCCAAAUGGUGACUCUGAGUAACACACCCUCCUGGUAUCUGACAAGCGCACACGUGCUCUCCCGGCAACGGGAGGCACGGCGCUACCACUUUCGAGUGUCUGACCUAUCAGCUAUCAAUCGUUCGUUAUGUGCGACCGAUGGCUUUGACGGGUAACGGGGAAUCAGGGUUCGAUUCCGGAGAGGCAGCCUGAGAAACGGCUACCACGUCCAAGGAAG
rnacentral:rRNA from 1 species